rnacentral:lncRNA from 1 species
CUUCCACCAGAUCCCCAACCACAACUUCCUCCGCAUUUAUGCUCAUUUUCUCACCAUUUCGAAUCACAAGGGCUUGCUUUGGAAAAGAAACAAUUUACACCGUUAGUAUACCAACAAAGAGAAGGUAGUGUCCAAAACAAGAAAAUAAAAAUAGUCAUAAUCCUAAUUACCUGAAUACAAAACAAAGAUAUUAUUCACUUUUUUAUUUACACAAGUUACAAAAGCUUGCUCGCCAGUUUAAGAGAUAUUGCUGUUACAUGGUGUGCCUGUAUUCAGAGUUUACAUUCAAAAGAAAGGCUACCACUUUUUGGAUAGAAGGAAAAUAGGUUGGUUUUGGGUGGGGUAGAAGACAUCCAUCUCUCUGAUGAGUCAUGUAAUACUUGGAAAACCUUAACUUCACACUAAUUCACAGGCUGACAUGCUUGGGGCUGUCAAGUCAUCCACUGGGGAAGGACAAAGCGUCUGGUACCUGAGGGACCAUGUUUUUGAAGGAUUCCAUGAUCUUUGAACUUUUAGCUUCUUGAUAGUAGGAGAAGCAACCAGUUAUGAUUACAACGGCUGAUAGCACCACACCCAGGUACAGCUGGAAGGGAAAAGACAAGUUAGGGCCCGUGGCUCUACACAAUAAUUAGGGA